UGACUAGACAGGAUUUGAAAUAAAUGAAAUUUUAAGAGGUAUUUCAACAACUUGUUAUUUUACAAUUUCUAAUUUUUAUUAAGUUUAAAAGAAGAGAUUGCUUCAAAGGAAAAUCAUUCAUUGAUUGACAUUUUCACCGUUGGAUUUUUUUCCAGAUUGUCCAUUUCUCCUAGAUGAUAUGAUAUAUUGUUAUAGAUAAAUUUGGAAUUGUAGUCAUGCAUAUGUGAUGCUUCACCACAUUUUUAAGCUUUAACAAAAAUAUCCAAUCAGAUGAUGACAUUCAAGUGUACUUUUGGAAGUACCAAGAUUAGCCUGCAAGUUUGACCUUGAAAAAUCUUUAUUCCCAGCACAUAUUCAAACUAUUGUAUAAGAUCCACUUUUAAAUAAUCAAAUGUAUAAAAAUAACAAAUAGUAAUUUAUUUUUCACUAUGAAUCACAUACUUUUCUGGGCAAUUAACAUAUAUAAUUAAAUUAAAUCUUGAUAAUUUCUAUAUAUACAAUACUCUUGGUUACUUUGAUUUUAGAGGAGAAACUGAGGCCCAGAGAAACAAUUUAACUUGCUCAACACAGUGGUAAUUAUUGCGAGCAAAAAUUUCAUAAAUUUGUAUAUUUGAAAGGACUCAUCAAAUUCUACAAUGCAUAUUCACAGCAAGGCUUUUAUUUAAAAGUACAGAAGGAGAAAGAGUGAUAGGCAAGCACUGAGAAUAUGAGAGUCAUCUAGGCAAAAUCUGCCUAGGUUCCUCAUGCACACAUGGACCUGCUUUGUCUCUGAAUUAAAGCACUGAGAUCUAUGUUCUGAAUUCCUGCUCCAGAAUAGCUCAGGGCAGAAGUUUUAGUGGCAUCUUUUUAUGCUCUUCUGAUCAGCUAGUCAUACCAGGCAGAUUAACUACUUAGGUCAGGUGAAAACUAUCAGUAAACAAACCAGCUCUGUGUGUCACUUGGAAAUUUUAGACUUUAAAUAGCACAUCAUAAAUUCCACUGUUCUUAUAUUAGUCAAUAGUCAAAGUCAGAUAUGUGGGCAUCCCCAGAGGUAAGGCUAGACAUUUCUAGGUCCAGCAGUAAAUGAGCUCUAUCUCACAUUGUGGGGGAGCUUCAAUUUUAACCCUGCUCUUCUGCAUCCAGAGACCAUGCACUUGAAACCAUGCUGUUGGUGGAACAAGAAAAAUUUACUAUUCAUUUGCCCUGACAUUACUAUUCAGGAUGAAAAUCCAGGUCUCAGAGUGUGAACUUCAACUUUAUGAAAAUGGAUGCCAAAGCACAUUGACAACUAAAGAUAAGAAGUUUUCAACUUAUAUAUCAUUUUUUAACAAUCAGUAAUGAAUGGCUGGCCGGGUUAGAAAUGAAAAAGCAUAAUAUAGUUCAUCUCUCACAUCUCCUUCAGAGUUAAAUAGAAGUUCGGUUAAAUUAUUAAGUAAAGGUUCCUUUAAGCACAGUGAAAAUAUAUUGAAGGUUAGACAGUAUCUGAGUGGAUGAUUUUCAUUCUAACUUUUUAGUAAAAUCCCACAUACCAUGCUAUACUACAGUAUAGGGUGGGAUUUUUAAAAUUCAUAAUCAGUCAUGUAUUUAAUUUGAGCAGUAUCUAUUUGUUUGAAAGACAGUAAGUACUUUGGAUAAGAGGGUAUCUUAAAAUCUCUCUCUUGGAAGGUACACUUAAGAAUAUCUCACCCAGUGUAGGAAUCCCCCAUAAAGCAAUCCGUGACAGUCUUCCAGACUCUGCAUGAGCCUGUUCAACAAUGGAGUAAUCAUGAACCCUUAUGGUAGCUAAUGUACUUUUAAAAAUUCUAAUCAUUAGGCUAUUCUUUAUUUCUUAUUAAAGGAGUUAUGGAAAUACUGAGCACAGAAAUAUAAUAAAGUCCAAACUACUUAGCAUGCUGUUCAAACAUUUUUACAAACUAAAUUCAAAUAGCUGCUCUAUCUGCUUCAUUGUUUACCCUUUAAAUGAGCCUCACAUACCUUCCCAGGCAUAACUACUGUAAAUAUGUCUCUAAGCCAACUUCUUUCUACUUGAAUAUGAGCAAGUUUUUAUCCUCACUGUACUUCAGUCUCUGUUAAAAAAAAAUUGGUAAUAACAAGGCCCACCCAAAAUUGUGUGGAAAGGAUUCAAUGAAUAUUCUCCAAGUGUCUAGGACACCACCUAGUAUGUAUAACUAAUUUAUGCUAGGUCUUAUUGUUGCUAUUGCUGUUUUCUCAUUAAUAUUAGAAUUUUCCAUAUUUUCUUAUUGCCUAUCUCUGAUUCUAAUCCAUUAUUUUGACUAUUUUCAGCCAUAUAUUUCCUUUGACUGGAGUCAUCUUUGGCUUUUUCCAUCUUGAUUUGAUAUUCUGCAUAUUCCAGCCUGUGACUCCUGGUUUUCACCCGUUAGCUUCACAUACAAAGAAACCACUUAUGAACUGCACAGGCUGGACUGCCCUUCAUUCAGCUAUGAAUUAACGGUCAAGAAAUCGGACUGAAAACAAAACUGUUAAAAGUGCUACAAACACACAGGGCUAUAUAAAUUGUGGCAGUUGAACAAAGAUUGAGUUAUGGAAGCAUUGCCCUGAUGGUGACUGAAGCCAACAAAGGAAGAAGGGAACUCUCAAUCAAGACACUCAAACUUAGGCUAUGAGUCCAUCUACAAUCCAAUAUCCAUCCAUCUAACAAGUCACUCUGAUCCAACCUGAUUGUUCUUCUUCAGAAGUCCCUGAAAAGCUCUUUGAUUUCCUUUUCUCUACCACCUGUGUUAGAGACAAGUGACUGUCUCAAUCUAUAGACUUCUUUUCUUCCUUUAUAAGUGAACCUUCUAUUUUUUAGUGAGAAAUCUGACAAUCCAGAAUUCAGACUACAUUUUCCAGCCUCUCUUUAAAAUGUCUGUGACUCAUAGAUCCAAAUUCUGGCCAAUGGUAUGGAGGUAACAUGAAGUAUCAGUUACCAAAUGA